CAGAAGAAUGAAGAGCAAUGAGUUUCAAACAGAAGUGUGUGGAACUCAAUGAUGGCCACCUCAUGCCGGUACUGGGCUAUGGCACUUAUCAAAAUCCAGAGGUAAAAGGUAACUCUUGAGAAAGUGACUGCUUCUGCCGAUGUUAUUCAUUCUGCUCACUGGAAGUUCUGUAAAGGCUUAUGGAAAAGAAAUUGUGAAACCUGAUUCUAGGAACUGAUCUCUUGACAGUGAUUUUUAAAGGUGAUUUUUAAAUUCAUGUCUUUCAGCACGUCUUCAUCCAAAUCAUACCAUUGCUUCCUCCUCUAGGUUCCUGCAAGUAAGAUUUUAGAGUCUACUAAAAUGGCAAUAGAUACUGGGUUCCACCAUAUUGAUUCUGCUUAUGUGUACAAAAAUGAAAAGGAAACAGGACAGGCUAUUUGAAGUAAGAUUGCUGAAGGUGUUUUGAAGAGAGAAGACAUAUUUCUCACUACAAAGGUACUGUGUGAAUAGUAGGCUUGUGUAUGAAUUAAUAAAGGGUGAUAUAAAACAUCUAAAAUUACAGUAUUGCCUUAAAGAAGUAUGCUUGUUGGUAUAAUAUUUACCUACAUAUUGAAAGAUUCUCGAAUU
rnacentral:lncRNA from 1 species